AUACGUAGGGAGCGAGCGUUAUCCGGAUUUACUGGGUGUAAAGGGAGCGUAGGCGGCAAGGCAAGUCUGAUGUGAAAACCCGGGGCUCAACCCCGGGACUGCAUUGGAAACUGCUUAGCUAGAGUGUCGGAGAGGUAAGUGGAAUUCCUAGUGUAGCGGUGAAAUGCGUAGAGAUUCGGAGGAACACCAGUAGCGAAGGCGGCUUUCUGGACCAUAACUGACGCUGAGGCACGAAAGCGUGGGGAGC
rnacentral:rRNA from 1 species